GACGACCGCUGGCGGCAGGCUUAGCCAAUGAAAGUCGAACGCCCCGCAAGGGGAGUGGCAGACGGCUGAGUAACAAGUGGGAAUCUUCCUAUCUGUAAGGCAUAGCUCAGGGAAACAUGGGGUAAUAACGAAUACGUCCUUCGGGGGAAAGGUUUAUCGCCGUUAGAUGAGCCGGCGUGUGAUUAGCUAGUUGGUGAGGUAAUGGCUCACCAAAGCGACGUUCAGUAGAUGGUUUGAGAGAAUGACCAGCCACACUUAGACUGAGCAACGGUCCAGACUCCUACGGAAUGCAGCAGUGGGGAAUCUUGCACAAUGGGCUCAAGCCUGAUCCAUCCAUGCCGCGUGAGUGACGUAGUUCUUCAGAUUGUAAAGCUCUUUUGCCAGGGACGAUAUUGACGGUACCUGGAGAAUAAGCCCCGGCUAACUUCGUGCCAGCCGCCGCAGUAA
rnacentral:rRNA from 1 species